rnacentral:rRNA from 1 species
AUACGGAGGGUGCGAGCGUUAAUCGGAAUUACUGGGCGUAAAGCGUACGUAGGCGGUUGGUUAAGUUAGAUGUGAAAGCCCCGGGCUUAACCUGGGAACUGCAUUUAAAACUGGCGAACUAGAGUUGAGUAGAGGGGAGUGGAAUUUCAGGUGUAGCGGUGAAAUGCGUAGAGAUCUGAAGGAACACCAGUGGCGAAGGCGACUCCCUAGACUCGAACUGACGCUGAGGUACGAAAGCGUGGGUAGCAAGCGGGAUUAGAAACCCUAGUAGUCC